GAAUAUUGCACAAUGGAGGGAACUCUGAUGCAGCGACGCCGCGUGAGUGAAGAAGUAAUUCGUUAUGUAAAGCUCUAUCAGCAGGGAAGAAAGUGACGGUACCUGAAAAAGAAGCUCCGGCUAAAUCCGUGCCAGCAGCCGCGGUAAUACGUAUGGAGCAAGCGUUAUCCGGAUUUACUGGGUGUAAAGGGGGCGCAGACGGCCAUGGCAAGCCCGGUGUGAAAGGCAGGGGCAUAACCCCUGGACUGCACUGGGAACUGUCAGGCUGGAGUGCCGGAGGGGUAAGCGGAAUUCCUGGUGUAGCGGUGAAAUGCGUAGAUAUCAGGAGGAACACCGGCGGCGAAGGCGGCUUACUGGACGGCAACUGACGUUGAGGCCCGAAAGCGUGGGGAGCGAACAG
rnacentral:rRNA from 1 species